CACACACACACGCACGCACGCACGCACGCACACACACACACGCACACACACACACGCACACACACGCACACACACACACGCACACACACACACACACACAUAUACACACACACACAUAUAUACACACACACACACACACACACAACUAUUACUGCAUUCAUGAAUGUGUCUGUAUGUAUAAGGGUGUUCGUGUGUCAGUAUUUGUGGUGGUGAGAGUGUGUCUGUUUGUAUAACAUUGUGAGUGUGUGUGUGAGUGUUUGUUUAAGUCUUGGGGGUGCGGAGAGUGUUUUGUCUAGGGGUGUGUGUGUGUGUGUGUGUCAGUCUUUGGGGUGGGGAGAGUGUUUUGUCUAGGGGUGUGUGUGUGUGUGUGUGUCAGUCUUUGGGGUGGGGAGAGUGUUUUGUCUAGGGGUGUGUGUGAGUGCGUGUGUCAGUCUUUGGGAUGGGGAGAGUGUUUUGUCUAGGGGUGGGUGUGUGUGAGUGCGUGUGUCAGUCUUUGGGAUGGGGAGAGUGUUUUGUCUAGGGGUGUGUGUGAGUGUGUGUGUCAGUCUUGGAGGUGGGGAGAGUGUGUGUUCGUCCUCCCAGAUCAGGGAACAUGCUCAUUGUUGUAAGAAUCUGUGGGACGAGGGGACUAUUUUACAACCACGUUAAAUUGGUUCACCUCCAUCCCUCCCACAAUGACCUGUUCUCUAUCGCUCUCAUUCUCUCUCUCUCUCCCCCACACACACCCCACCAUUCCUGAACACUGCUAGCCCUGGGAGUGUGUGUGUGGAGUCACCUUGAGGAGGGUUCCAUACGAGUAGAGAGAGUCAAUCUCAGAGAAAUGAAAGAAGAACAUGUCCUUAAAGACAUUUUUCAGGGUGUUUGGAAGAAAGAGAUGGAGAGAAAUGUGAGCGCUAUCAACCCAAACCCACAGUCAAUGGGGAACACUUGGAGAUUAGUAGUGACCUCUUGACACAAAGUGAAUGAAGAGUUUGGUCUGAUUGUUAACAUGCCAUACUGGUUCUCCACCACCAGGCCUUACUGACUUUGCACCUACACAUUUAACUGAAAAAGAGAGUGAUAGUGGGUGUGUGUGUGUGUGUGUGUGUGUGGUGGAGGAGUGGGGGCUGUAGAUACUGUGUAAAUUGUUGGGAUCAGAGUAUGGCCUAUUUGUCAGAAGAUAUAACAGAUAUGCUCUGGAAUCAACAUCUUCUAACUGCAUCAAGGAUGUGGAUAUGUUGACAUUAAUGAUUGCUACUGAAUCUCACCAUUUGUCCUCAUAUUGUGUCCAACAACCAGGUUUCCCUUCAGUUCUGAGCCAUUCACGACAUGAUCACUCAUCUCAAGA
ensembl:lncRNA